AGGCUACAAUAGUUAUCCCAGCUAUCGAUCCUCUGCUUAAGAGUAGGCGAGAGACGAGCGUAUAAGUGGCGGAACCACAUCUCACGGUAGAGGAGGCAGAAAACGUGAUCAUUGUCGACGUAGUGAGCGACAGCGUCAACAGAAGGCCAAGGAGUUUCCUUGAAGAGGCGCUCGGAUAAGGUCUGGAAGGAGGUCUCAUACAUCUGGUGGAUCUCAUACACAUUCUUCUCUCUAAUAUGGCGGUAAAGAUGCACCACGAAGGAUUUCACCGAAUCUGGGACGAAAUUGGGGUCGUAGCCUAGGUCUUGCCGUUGAGGACCGGCCUGGUCAUCGUAAUUUGCGGCGGCGGCGGUGGCGUCGUCAUACUCGUAGGCAGUUGCCAUGGUAGAAAAGGGGCAAAGGGCAGAUGGGAAGUGUGAGAUCAGCAAGCCAACAGUGUGAAGAGAAACUAGGGUUUUGGCGAAGGACAGAGCAUUACUGGCAUUGGAUUCUGAUGAGGUUUGGGCUUUGAAUAUAUGGAAGUUGUCGAGAUAAUAAGGCCCAUUAAAAUCUUUUUCCAUUGAGAUCUUUUCGUUCGAGCA
rnacentral:misc_RNA from 1 species